UACGUAGGGGGCAAGCGUUGUCCGGAUUUAUUGGGCGUAAAGAGCUCGUAGGCGGUUUGUCACGUCGGAUGUGAAAACCCGAGGCUUAACCUCGGGCCUGCAUUCGAUACGGGCUGACUAGAGUUCGGUAGGGGAGACUGGAAUUCCUGGUGUAGCGGUGAAAUGCGCAGAUAUCAGGAGGAACACCGGUGGCGAAGGCGGGUCUCUGGGCCGAUACUGACGCUGAGGAGCGAAAGCGUGGGGAGCGAACAGG
rnacentral:rRNA from 1 species